rnacentral:rRNA from 1 species
AUGCCGGUGCUCACGCCGUCCCUGCUGCACGUUCCUCUCCAGCAGCAAGUCUCUCUCUUUCUUUCUCUCUCUCUCUCUCUCUCACACACACACACACACACACACACACACACACACACACACACACACACACACACACACACACACACACACACACACACAAACAAACAUUCUUGUUGUAUGAAUGAAGUGACUUACUGUUGUUGUAUGGAUAAAGUGAGCUGCUGGCUGUUUGCAAAUUCUUGUAAGAGCAGAAGAAAGAUACAAUUGACCUUGUGCACUGACUGUUGUAUGGAUGUCAAUAGCAGCAACACAUCAAAGGAGCUCCGGGUCAAGACGGUGGCGGCCGACAUGCAUAGUCUGCUCUUUGAGGAGGUCAUCCGCCUUCCUGUACAAUCUUGGCUUCGUGAGAAACUGGACUGA